rnacentral:rRNA from 1 species
AGUGAACGCUGGCGGUAGGCCUAACACAUGCAAGUCGAACGGCAGCACAGUAAGAGCUUGCUCUUACGGGUGGCGAGUGGCGGACGGGUGAGGAGUACAUCGGAAUCUACUUUUUCGUGGGGGCUAACGUAGGGACACUUACGCUAUUACUGCAUACGACCUACGGGUGAAAGCAUGGGAUCUUCGGACCUUGCGUGAUUGAAUGAGCCGAUGUCGGAUUAGCUAGUUGGCGGGGUAAAGGCCCACCAAGGCGACGAUCCGUAGCUGGUCUGAGAGGAUGAUCAGCCACACUGGAACUGAGACACGGUCCAGACUCCUACGGGAGGCAGCAGUGGGGAAUAUUGGACAAUGGGCGCAAGCCUGAUCCAGCCAUACCGCGUGGGUGAAGAAGGCCUUCGGGUUGUAAAGCCCUUUUGUUGGGAAAGAAAGGCAGCAGGUUAAUACCCCGCUGUUCUGACGGUACCCAAAGAAUAAGCACCGGCUAACUUCGUG